GCCUCGUUGGCGUAGUGGUAGCGCGUUCCACUUGUAGGAUGAAUAGCCUGGAAUAUAACACAAUGGAAAGGUCACUCGUCCAACCCGAGUACGAGGCA